AUUGAACGCUGGCGGAAUGCCUUACACAUGCAAGUCGAACGGUAACAGGUUAAGCUGACGAGUGGCGAACGGGUGAGUAAUGUAUCGGAACGUGCCCAGUCGUGGGGGAUAACUGCUCGAAAGAGCAGCUAAUACCGCAUACGACCUGAGGGUGAAAGCGGGGGAUCGCAAGACCUCGCGCGAUUGGAGCGGCCGAUAUCAGAUUAGGUAGUUGGUGGGGUAAAGGCCUACCAAGCCGACGAUCUGUAGCUGGUCUGAGAGGACGACCAGCCACACUGGGACUGAGACACGGCCCAGACUCCUACGGGAGGCAGCAGUGGGGAAUUUUGGACAAUGGACGCAAGUCUGAUCCAGCCAUGCCGCGUGCGGGAAGAAGGCUUUCGGGUUGUAAACCGCUUUUGUCAGGGAAGAAACGCUCUGGGUUAAUACCUCGGGGUAAUGACGGUACCUGAAGAAUAAGCACCGGCUAACUACGUGCCAGCCGCCGCGGUAA
rnacentral:rRNA from 1 species